rnacentral:lncRNA from 1 species
AGGAAAGCGGAAGAGAAGAAGCAGUAAGUUGUGACAUUCAGCGUGUUUGAGCCGUUCUGAUGGCUUCAAAUCGACCACACUAAAUUAGGUUAUCCAUUAAGGGAAUUACAAUUACAGGCUCAAUUUUGAGGUCAAUGCUUUCUUGCAAAUUUGUUCUUGACAUGGAUAAAUAAAACAUAUGAGGCGGAACUUUAUUUUUAAGUUUCCAAGUCUGAAUUGUUCAUCUUGCACGUCUGUGGAAUGUUCUUGAUUAUUGAAAGAUGUUG